UACAGAGACUGCAAGCGUUAUUCGGAUUCACUGGGCGUAAAGGGUGCGCAGGCGGCCGAGUGAGUGAGGUGUGAAAGCCCGGGGCUUAACCCCGGAAUUGCACCUCAAACUACACGGCUAGAGCAUUGGAGAGGGUAGCAGAAUUCACGGUGUAGCAGUGAAAUGCGUAGAUAUCGUGAGGAAUACCAGAGGCGAAGGCGGCUUCCUGGACAAUUGCUGACGCUCAGGCACGAAAGCGUGGGGAGCAAAAGGG
rnacentral:rRNA from 1 species